rnacentral:rRNA from 1 species
AGUGAACGCUGGCGGUAGGCCUAACACAUGCAAGUCGAACGGCAGCACAGUAAGAGCUUGCUCUUACGGGUGGCGAGUGGCGGACGGGUGAGGAAUAUAUCGGAAUCUACUUUUUCGUGGGGGAUAACGUAGGGAAACUUACGCUAAUACCGCAUACGACCUACGGGUGAAAGCGUGGGAUCUUCGGACCUUGCGCGAUUGAAUGCGCCGAUGUCGGAUUAGCUAGUUGGCGGGGUAAAGGCCAACUAAGGCAACGAUCCGUAGCUGGUCUGAGAGGCUGAUAGGCGACAUGGGAACUGAGACACGGUCAAGACGACUACGGGAGGCAGCAGUGGGGAAUAGUAGACAAUGGGCGCGAGCCUGGUACAGCGAUACCACGUGGGUGAAGAAGGCCUUCGGGUUGUAAAGCCGUUUUGUUGGGAAAGAAAAGCAGCAGGUUAAUACCCCGCUGUUCUGACGGUACCCAAAGAAUAAGCACCGGCUAACUUCGUG